AUUGAACGCUGGCGGCAGGCCUAACACAUGCAAGUCGAGCGGAAAAAGGGAGCUUUCUCCUGGAGUUAGCGGCGGACGGGUGAGUAAUGCCUAUGAAUAUGCUGGCUUUUGCUUUAUAACGUCCUGAAACGGGCGCUACUACUGCAUACGACCUGCUGGUGAUAGUUGGGGAUCUUCGGACCUCACGCUAUGAGAUGAGCCUAGGGCGGAUUAGCUAGUUGGUGGGGUAAAGGCCUACCAAGGCGACGAUCGGUAACUGGUCUGAGAGGAUGAUAAGUCACACUGGAACUGAGACGCGGUCAAGACUACUGAGGGAGGGAGCAGUGGGGAAUAGUGGACAGUGGGGGAAAGCAUGAUACAGUGAUGCCGAGUGUGAGAAGAAGGUCUUGCGUUUGUAAAGAAGUUUAAGUGGGGAGGAAGGGCAGUAAGUUAAUACGUUGCUGUUUUGACGUUACCAACAGAAUAAGCACCGGCUAACUUCGUG
rnacentral:rRNA from 1 species